UNUGACUUGAGUGCAGAAGGGGAGAGUGGAAUNCCAUGUGUAGCGGUGAAAUGCGUAGAUAUAUGGAGGAACACCAGUGGCGAAAGCGGCUNUCUGGUCUGUCACUGACGCUGAGGCUCGAAAGCGUGGGUAGCGANCAGGAUUAGAUACCCUGGUAGUNCACGCCGUAAACGAUGAGUGCUAGGUGUUAGGCCCUUUCCGGGGCUUAGUGCCGGAGCUAACGCAAUAAGCACUCCGCCUGGGGAGUACGACCGCAAGGUUGAAACUCAAAGGAAUUGACGGGGGCCCGCACAAGCGGUGGAGCAUGUGGUUUAAUUCGAAGCAACGCGAAGAACCUUACCAGGUCUUGACAUCCCGAUGCUAUUCUUAGAGAUAGGAAGUUACUUCGGUACAUCGGAGACAGGUGGUGCAUGGUUGUCGUCAGCUCGUGUCGUGAGAUGUUGGGUUAAGUCCCGCAACGAGCGCAACCCUUAUUGUUAGUUGCCAUCAUUAAGUUGGGCACUCUAGCGAGACUGCCGGUAAUAAACCGGAGGAAGGUGGGGAUGACGUCAAAUCAUCAUGCCCCUUAUGACCUGGGCUACACACGUGCUACAAUGGUCGGUACAACGAGUUGCGAGCCGGUGACGGCAAGCUAAUCUCUGAAAGCCGAUCUCAGUUCGGAUUGGAGGCUGCAACUCGCCUCCAUGAAGUCGGAAUCGCUAGUAAUCGCGGAUCAGCACGCCGCGGUGAAUACGUUCCCGGGCCUUGUACACACCGCCCGUCACACCACGAGAGUUUGUAACACCCGAAGUCGGUGAGGUAACCUUUUAGGGGCCAGCCG
rnacentral:rRNA from 1 species